rnacentral:rRNA from 1 species
UACGUAGGGAGCAAGCGUUGUCCGGAAUUAUUGGGCGUAAAGAGCUCGUAGGCGGUCUGUCGCGUCGGUCGUGAAAACUUGGGGCUUAACCCCGAGCUUGCGGUCGAUACGGGCAUGACUGGAGUUCGGCAGGGGAGACUGGAAUUCCUGGUGUAGCGGCGAAAUGCGCAGAUAUCAGGAGGAACACCGGUGGCGAAGGCGGGUCUCUGGGCCGAUACUGACGCUGAGGAGCGAAAGCGUGGGGAGCAAACAGG